GCUGCAGAGAAAUAAGAGAAGAAACAUGCAUCAAGACAAACGCUCGAGUAUUAUAAAUGAAUGACUGAACAGGAAAUUAGUUUCACAAAAUGAAAAGGCAAGUUUCGCAAAGGGGCAAGUCACCCACAUAAUUAUACCCUGUACCCAUUGCAAAAUGGAUAUAAAAAAGCGUAUGUUGCGCUAACGCGAAUAUAUAUAACACGCAGCAGGCAGGAUUUAACUUCGGCUUUAAAAAGUACUGUAUAUAUCCUUAAGCACCAACAAUAGCCAAGUCGAUCUGGCGACCAUAUAAGGUAGUUUGAACAUUUAGAGCAUAGAUUUUUCAAUGACACACACAGAGCAGGUUUCUUAGCAAUAGAUCCUCGUUUUUUCCAAAAUACGUAAUUAAAGAUUUUUGAGACAGUUUUUGAAUAAAAUAAAUAAAAAAUGGUCUGAGAUACAAAAUAUGGUAUGUAGAUGCUCGUGUAGCACAAACACUCGCGAAAGUCCGGAGCUGCUACAGGGUAUCUGCUAGUUGGGCAACUAAAUAGACACACUCUCGACUUUUUUUUUUUUGGCAAGCUUGCCUCAAUACGCCGCCUUUUUGGUAUGCAUACUCAUUAAUCUACUACUACUUCCCUCCGGCUACGUCCCUAUGCCAUCUCUCCUUUCAUUGUUUCGCAGCGUGUAGCAUGAUGAUCAACAACAUAAUUAUCAACAUCUUCAGCCUCCGAAAUUGUUUCGUUUGUGUGUUUCUGGCACACCGAAAUUUUCGGUUCGUCUGGCCGCCAUUAAAGCGCGCAUUGUCUGCAAAACUUAAAGCUCAGCCGGUGGGCCAAUCAGGUUGCAGCAACUAUUCGCAAUGACUUCCAUGUUUUGAACUUUGUGUUUGCUCAAAUGCAACUCUGCCUAUAAUUGACACAUCGAUAUAACUGCUCGAAUUUGCCAAUGCAAUAGUCAAGUUACUUUAAAUAGCAAGCCAUGUGGUACUUGUUGUUGGUUAUGGCAAGAGCAAUUCAAUUAACUCAAGGUGGUCAGCAAUAGGAAGAGCAGCAUAAGCAACAGGCAAUACAAAUAAAACAAAACGCAGAUAAGCAUUUGACGACACAUUUGUGUGUGUGUGUGUGUACCACGUUGCCAACUAUAGCAAAGUUACAAGCAGCGCUGACAAAGCCAAUUAGCAAGAUCUAACGGUAGUUCAAGCAACUUCUUAUAAGUAAAUAACGCAAAACGAAAGAGAGACGCACAACAAAGUCCAAGCUUAGACUACACAGACACACACACACACACAUAUAUAUGUAUACAUGCACAUGAACUCGAAUCGAGGAAAUGACGUUUUCAGUUUAUUUUUGGUCGCUUAACCAUCGACAAAUAAUAUUUAACGAUUUUUGGACUAGCUGCUGAACACAGGGCGAUACACAAUUUAAUGAAAACUGACCAAACGAGUUCAAGCGUUGAAAUUUGCUUCUUUUUUUUUUGCGGCGACGUCGGCAUUGAAACUAGACAUGAGUCACGCGCUUGGAGCGCAGUGCGAGAGCAAAGACAGCCUUAAUCAGCUGUUGGGACAUUCUCUCGCGGAGGAACUGUGGCAAAACCAAGACACCAUGCGCCCAUUAACUGCGCAUCUAAAUAUAAAAUAUAAUCAAUAUACAAAAUAAGAAAAUAGACAACGCUAACGUCACGAGUAUUAA